CCUACGGGUGGCAGCAGUGAGGGAUAUUGGUCAAUGGGCGCGAGCCUGAACCAGCCACGUAGCGUGAAGGAUGACUGCCCUACGGGUUGUAAACUUCUUUUAUCAAGGAAUAAAGUGAGGCACGUGUGCCUUUUUGUAUGUACUUUAUGAAUACGGAUCGGCUAACUCCGUGCCAGCAGCCGCGGUAAUACGGAGGUUCCGAGCGUUAUCCGGAUUUAUUGGGUUUAAAGGGAGCGUAGAUGGGUUGUUAAGUCAGUGGGGAAAGUUUGCGGCUCAACCGGAAAAUUGCAAUUGAUACUGGCAGUCUUGAGUACAGUUGAGGUAGGCGGAAUUCGUGGUGUAGCGGUGAAAUGCUUAGAUAUCACGAAGAACUCCGAUUGCGAAGGCAGCUUACUAAACUGCCACUGACAUUGAUGCUCGAAAGUGUGGGUAGCAAACAGGAUUAGAUACCCCAGUAGUC
rnacentral:rRNA from 1 species